AACUGAAUCACCUGGAAAAUCUCCUUAAAAUGCAGGUUCUGACUCAGAACAUCUGGGGUGGGGCCCAAGAUUCUGCAUUCUUGAAAAGAUCCCAGAUGAUAAUUCA
rnacentral:miRNA from 1 species